rnacentral:sRNA from 1 species
AUACCAGGGGCAAAAAGUCUAAAUCCACAUGAGCUUGCUCAUAUGUGGAUGAAAGACCUUUUGCCCCGCCCCGAUAUGAGCAUAAAAGUGGGAUGUACAUCCCACGAUAUGCGAAUAUCCGGCAGAAUUGUGAGAGUGCGAAGCACGGAACAAUUCGUUGGUAU